rnacentral:misc_RNA from 1 species
AAGUCGUAACAAGGUUUCCGUAGGUGAACCUGCGGAAGGAUCAUUAACAAUUCCAAAAACUCGUCUUCUGAACCUGUUUGUCUUUCUUGAAUGUGGAGAGAGUAUAUGAACUCUUCCGGGAGUUUUUUCUUCACAGGAUAGUUAUGGGGAGCAGGUUUAGUCUGACAAAUACUAACAUUAUGAUUUGACAACAUAUGGGAUAUCCAUCAUUUAUAUUUAAAUGUUUAAACAACUUUUAACAAUGGAUCUCUUGGCUCUU